CCUACGGGUGGCAGCAGUCGAGAAUUUUUCUCAAUGGGGGAAACCCUGAAGGAGCGACGCCGCGUGGAGGAUGAAGGCUUUCGGGUUGUAAACUCCUGUCAUUUGGGAACUAGUACCAGAAGAGGAAGAGACGGCUAACUCUGUGCCAGCAGCCGCGGUAAUACAGAGGUCUCAAGCGUUGUUCGGAUUCAUUGGGCGUAAAGGGUGCGUAGGUGGCGUGGUAAGUCGGGUGUGAAAUUUCGGAGCUUAACUCCGAAACUGCAUUCGAUACUGCCGUGCUUGAGGACUGGAGAGGAGACUGGAAUUUACGGUGUAGCAGUGAAAUGCGUAGAGAUCGUAAGGAAGACCAGUGGCGAAGGCGGGUCUCUGGACAGUCCUGACACUGAGGCACGAAGGCCAGGGGAGCAAACGGGAUUAGAUACCCUUGUAGUC
rnacentral:rRNA from 1 species